rnacentral:misc_RNA from 1 species
GAAAUGCGAUAAGUAGUGUGAAUUGCAGAAUUCAGUGAAUCAUCGAAUCUUUGAACGCACAUUGCGCCCCUUGGUAUUCCAUGGGGCAUGCCUGUUCGAGCGUCAUUUGUACCUUCAAGCCUUGCUUGGUGUUGGGUGUUUGUCUCGCCUCUGCGCGCAGACUCGCCUCAAAACAAUUGGCAGCCGGCGUAUUGAUUUCGGAGCGCAGUACAUCUCGCGCUUUGCACUCAGAACGACGACGUCCAAAAGUACAUUUUUACACUCUUGACCUCGGAUCAGGUAGGGAUACCCGCUGAACUUAA